GGCAGUGUGGUGCAAUGGUGAGGACUCUGGACUAGGGCUGCAGAGACCCAGGCUCGAGUCCCCUUCUACUGCAC